GAUCAUGUGAACCCAAAAGCAUUUUUCAGUGUUCUUCGCAUAUAUUUGUCUGGCUGGAAAGGCAACCCCCAGCUAUCAGACGGUCUGGUGUAUGAAGGGUUCUGGGAAGACCCAAAGCAGUUUGCAGGGGGCAGUGCAGGCCAAAGCAGCGUCUUUCAGUGCUUUGACGUCCUGCUGGGCAUCCAGCAGACUGCUGGUGGAGGACAUGCUGCUCAGUUCCUCCAGGACAUGAGAACAUAUAUGCCACCAGCUCACAGGAACUUCUUGUGCUCAUUAGAGUCAAAUCCCUCAGUCCGUGAGUUUGUCCUUUCAAAAGGUGAUGCUGGCCUGCGGGAAGCUUAUGACGCCUGUGUGAAAGCUCUGGUCUCCCUGAGGAGCUACCAUCUGCAAAUUGUGACUAAGUAUAUCCUGAUUCCUGCAAGCCAGCAGCCAAAGGAGAAUAAGACCUCUGAAGACCCUUCAAAACUGGAAGCCAAAGGAACUGGAGGCACUGAUUUAAUGAAUUUCCUGA
rnacentral:sRNA from 1 species